AGCAUGUGGUUUAAUUCGACGAUACGCGAAGAACCUUACCUGGCCUUGACAUAGAAAGAACUUACUAGAGAUAGUUUGGUGCUAGCUUGCUAGAACUUUCAUACAGGUGCUGCACGGCUGUCGUCAGCUCGUGUCGUGAGAUGUUGGGUUAAGUCCCGCAACGAGCGCAACCCUCGUGUUUAGUUACUAACAGUUCGGCUGAGGACUCUAGACAGACUGCCUGGGUAACCAGGAGGAAGGUGAGGACGACGUCAAGUCAUCAUGGCCCUUACGGCCAGGGCUACACACGUGCUACAAUGGGGUAUACAAAGAGCCGCAAUACCGCGAGGUGGAGCAAAUCUCAUAAAAUAUCUCCCAGUUCGGAUUGAAGUCUGCAACUCGANUACAUGAAGUUGGAAUCGCUAGUAAUCGUGAAUCAGCAAUGUCAUGGUGAAUACGUUCCCGGGU
rnacentral:rRNA from 1 species